rnacentral:rRNA from 1 species
CACGUAGGGGCGAGCGUUGUCCGGAAUUACUGGGCGUAAAGGGCGCGCAGGCUGUUAUGCGAGUCUGCUGUGAAAUGUACCGGCUCAACCGGUGCCUUGCGGCGGAUACUGCAUAGCUGGAGUACUGGAGAGGGAAGUGGAAUUCCCGGUGUAGCGGUGAAAUGCGCAGAUAUCAGGAGGAACACCGGUGGCGAAGGCGGGUCUCUGGGCCGAUACUGACGCUGAGGAGCGAAAGCAUGGGUAGCGAACAGGAUUA